UACGGGGGGGGCAAGCGUUGUCCGGAUUUAUUGGGCGUAAAGAGCGUGUAGGCGGCUAGGUAGGUCCGUUGUGAAAACUCGAGGCUCAACCUCGAGACGUCGAUGGAAACCAUCUGGCUAGAGUCCGGAAGAGGAGAGUGGAAUUCCUGGUGUAGCGGUGAAAUGCGCAGAUAUCAGGAAGAACACCCGUGGCGAAGGCGGCUCUCUGGUACGUGACUGACGCUGAGACGCGAAAGCGUGGGGAGCGAACAGG
rnacentral:rRNA from 1 species